UUGACCUCGAAUCAGGUAGGGAUACCCGCUGAACUUAAGCAUAUCAAUAAGCGGAGGAAAAGA
rnacentral:rRNA from 1 species